rnacentral:rRNA from 1 species
GGGCUUGACAUCCCACGAACCUGUGAAAGCAGGUCUUCUCCGCAAGGGGACGGCGAGACAGGUGUUGCAUGGCUGUCGUCAGCCCGUGUCGUGAGAUGUUGGGUUAAGUCCCGCAACGAGCGCAACCCUCACCCCAUGUUGCCAGCGGGUAAAGCCGGGAACUCUUGGGGAACUGCCCGGGUAACCGGGAGGAAGGUGGGGAUGACGUCAAGUCAGCAUGGCCCUUACGCCCUGGGCUACAAACAUGCUACAAUGGACGGCACACAAAGGGAUCCGAAGGCGUGAGCCGGAGGCAAUCUCAAAAAUCCGUCCCCAGUUCAGAUCGCAGGCUGCAACUCGCCUGCGUGAAGUCGGAAUCGCUAGUAACCGCCGAUCAGCUAAGCGGCGGUGAGUACGUUCCCGGGCCUUGUACACACCGCCCGUCACACCACGAAAGCUGUCUGUACUCGAAGUCGCUGAG